GUCUCGGCACACGCAUAAGCAAGAGAUUGAUAUUCCGAUCUAAUACUAGAACGAAAUAAUAUAAUCAUCGACAAUCAGAUUUAAUUCAAUAAAUAUGUUCUCGGCCGUCAAGAUAGUGUAAUCCGAUCCAAACCGAUCCGGUCUAGAGGUCCACUUACGGGCAUCCCGACCAUUACAAGCCAAAACUUAGGGCGUUUCGACCUGGGAUGCGCCAAUUCGGUACUGUAAACUUGCGAAGUACAAACCAAACCAAACCAAACGCAAAGGGGGUUUUAAUUAGUAAAGAAGGCGAUCUCAGCUGAACCAGGUGGUAAAAGAAGAAGACAUGGGCGAUCCGUACCGUAUAUACUUCACCCCGCCCGAAAUAGACAGUGUUGCGAGGCCAAGCUUUCCUGGCUACUUGUCGUCGGAAACACCCUCAUUGCUAUUCAACCCAACGAUUCCUUCUACCGAUACGCAGCGGAGUUAUGCUUCCGAUUUUCUGCAGAGAGAUAUAAGAUCAAUGACUACUGGCGCAUAUGCUGUAGAUGAUGCUGUGGGUCUUCGGUCUUGUCCUGAACCGGUUCUUGGUGCAACAGCAAGAGCUAGCACAAAGGGUUAUUCAUCGCUUUUAGAAGUUCCAAGACUGGAAGUUUCUGCAGUAAGCAUUAGUCCAAAUCUUCCUGCAGACAUAAAUUUAGAAAGGCCGGCUGGCUCUUCGAGAAAUGCUGAUGGUCUUCCUGUGAAAGGGGAAUCAAAUGUUUUGUUUGUCGAUGGACUUCCCACUGACUGUACCCGAAGAGAAGUAGGCCAUAUAUUCCGUCCAUUUAUUGGCUUUAAAGAAAUCAAAGUCAUUCACAAGGAGCCUAGACGUAGUGGAGAUAAGGCUAUGGUUCUGUGCUUUGUAGAGUUUGCUGAUGCGAAGUGUGCUCUGACUGCUAUGGAAGCUCUUCAAGGUUACAAGUUUGAUAACAAGAAACCCGAGUCCCCUGCAUUGAAGAUCCAUUUUGCACAUUUUCCAUUCAGUCUACCAGAUGAUGGCAAAGAACAAAGAAUUGGAAUCCCGCGGUGACAGAAAAAUGGCCUGAGAUGAAAUCUGCGGCUUGCUGGAACCUGUUUCGUGAUGUUUUCGGAGAAAACAACCUACAAAGUUGGUGCGAAGCGGGCGAGAAUCUUGCAUACAACCAGGGAUGCGACGAAGCAUUAUAGGAAUUCUCACGCCUGGUGGAAUGAGACAUGAGAUGAACCGUAGGGCUAUUGAACUAGGGCAGUUCUCACGCCUGGUGGAAUCGGUGAGGUCGGUAUGUACUCAAACAUAGAUGUUCUCACACUUUUGUGACAGGUCUCGAACGAAUAGAGUGGUCAAACAACUCUACCGAAGUUUUUCUCGUGAGACAGGUCAUCCAAUGAAAAGAGUUCACAUUACAAAUACUAAAGGGAGUACACUGAACUCAUGACGCAAGAUACAAGAUGGAAAAUCACGCAAAAUAAAUAAUUUAUGUUCUCUUAUAUGGCAAUUGGAGUGUAAUCUCAUGCUACAGCACCGUGUUUCUGUGUUCUUGAUGUAUAUAACUUAGCUUAUAAAAAGACUACUACAAAAUACAAUUCA